CAGUUCACACAUUGAAGACUACACAACAUGUUUGUUUUUUUAUUGUUGUGAAACUGUGGGAGUUUUAUUCUACCCUUUAAAUUCCCAAAUGACCUCUGAGUUCACUGUUGACUCAUUUGUGAACAACUUUCAAUACAUAGUUGCAGAACUGGAUACAAAGCUGAAAGACACUGGGACAUUAUCCCGAGUCAAAGAAUCAGACCGUUUUAUUAUUUUUUUGCUGACAGUUCUGCGUGGUAGUGUUGAAACAACCAAUGUCUCCCAGGUUUCAGUUGCUUUUAAUUGUGUUAUUUUGCACUGUAUAGACUGAAGAUUGCGUUUUGUGUAAUCCAUACACUCUACCAGUCACAAAUCUGGACACAGCUUCUCAUUCAGUGGUUUUUAUUUGAUUAUUUUGUACAUUGUAGAUUAAUACUGAAUACAUCAAAACUAUAAAACAAUACAUAUGGAAUUAUGUUGUGAUCGAAAAAGGUGUUAAUCUUCAGUAUUAAUCUACAAUGUAGAAAUAAUACAAAUAAAUAAAAAGCAUUGAAUGAGAAGGUGUGUCAAAACUUUUGACUGAUAGUGUAUAUACAGCUAAGCUCCAAAUUAUCCAUACCCAUGAACACGUUAGAUGUAUAUGGAAUUUUCCUUUUACAAGUAGGUUUGUUCAUGCUAGAAAUGACAAAAGACAGUAACACACUGUUUUAGAGAUGUUACAGAUACAUUUGAACUAUUUUUGAUUUAGAAAAGAUGCACUGUGUUAAGUGGUCAUGGUAAAUUCUACAAUGUUCUAGAGGGUUCUAAUACACUAUUGCAUUGACAACCACUGAUACAGUAAUUCUCCAGUCAUUUGUUAGUCAGUUGCAUGUCAGCUAAAACCACAAACUUUAGUGAGGACCUUUGAAUGUGCACUACGGCUGCUCACAACAUGGGGAAAGGCUAUGCAGUCAUAUCCAAGCGUGUCAAAAAAAAAAAACACAAGGACUUUGAAUCAUUUAAACACCUCAGAGUGUGUGGUAGAAAGUCAAAAAUGGUUACUGUGUUGGCAAGAAUGGCAGUUUGAGGAACCAAGGGGAAUUCCAAUAUUCCGCGACGAUUCUGACAGAAACCGGAAACAACCAUAGAAACAAGGAUAGACAAGAAGAUGGCUGCGCACAAUAAACAGUUAUCUUUCGACUCGGCUUUGGCCACAGCCCUUAAAGAUUUGAAGCUAAAAUUCAACUUGAAAGAUAAACAAAGGACGGCACUGAAGUGUUUCAUUGAGAAGAAAGACGUAUUUGGACUUACGCCAACAGGAUAUGGCAAAUCCUUAAUAUACCAGUUGGCUCUGCUGGUUGGGAAGCUAAUGGGACUUAGGCUUCACUGAACUCCCGCAUCCUCUGAUUUCCGGCGCUCUAGGAACUACGUCAGCCUAUUCGUUGCGCUGAUUGGUUGUAUACCUACCCAAUUGCUGCAGAGUGAUUUAAAAGACAACCUUUUAGCCCGUCUCCCUCCCUGUCGAGAGUUACUAGACCCUUGCGUCUUCAGACCUGGGUCUAGCGCGGCUAGGCUAGUGAAUCUGAGCAAUUCUGGUACCAACAUCUAAAGACAUAUGGUCAAGCAGAACCUGAACAAGGCUGGUCUCCAUAGACCCAGACCAAGGAGGACUUCACUUCUCCAAGACAGAAAUACAGAUGUCACAUGGACAGUUGGACACAGAUGGUUUUAGUCAUCAGGUCUGUGGUCAGAUGAGAUGAAAAUGGAUGUUUCGACAUGCUGGGAUGGGAUUUUUACUGUUGAAAGGAAGGACAAUCGGUCAACCCUGAGAACAUCAUACUAACAGUAAGACAUGGUGGUGGGAGUAGAAUGUCUUGGUGUUUUUUUCAGCUAAGUGGUUAGGCAGCCUUGUCAAAGUAAAUGGUGUCAUGAGAAAAGAGCAUUUAGAUUCUGGGGUAAAACAUCAGGCUUUCUACUGAAAGUUUGGCAUUGGGCAACAUUUGACCUUCCAGUAAGACUUGAUCUGAAUUCUGAAAUCUACAGCCAGAGUGGUCAAGAAAUGGUUAACAGUAAACAUUAUGAACAUUGUGAAGCAGCCCAUCCAGAGUCUUCACCUGAAGUCCAUUGAGAAUCUGAUUGAUGGCAAAGAAGCCUUUAAUCUCAAAAACCUGGAGGUCACCACAAAAAGUAAUAUAACAAAAUCCCAGAGGAGACAUACAGAAGGCAAGAUCUGUUUGACUGUCUUACCACUGAGCAAGAGCAUGAACAACUUUGGACAUGGCUUUAGUAGAAAAUGUAAUUUACAUCUCUAACACGAUGACUUUCUGUCUUGUGACUUAUUUCAUUUCCAGACAGAAAGAAACAUACUAGUUGAUAAAAAAUGACUGUAAAUAUACAUUUGAUAUGGGUGUGAAUCGUUUUGAGUGUACAUGUCAAUGCUGCAUAUGUCAUCACUGUCCUCCUGUUCUGUUCUCCUGCAG